AUUGAACGCUGGCGGCAGGCUUAACACAUGCAAGUCGAACGAGGGGCGGACGGGUGAGUAAUGCUUGGGAAUCUAGCUUAUGGAGGGGGAUAACUACGGGAAACUGUAGCUAAUACCGCGUACCAUAGGAUGAGCCAAAAUGGGCUUAGGUAGGUGGUGAGGUAAAGGCUCACCAAGACGACGAUCUCUAGCUGGUCUGAGAGGAUGACCAGCCAAACUGGGACGGAUACACGGCCCAGACGCCGACGUGAGGCAGCAGUGGGGAAUAUUGCGCAAUGGGGGCAACCCUGACGCAGCCAUGCCGCGUGAAUGAAGAAGGCCUUAGGGUUGUAAAGUACUUUCAGCGGGGAGGCGUUACCCGCAGAAGAAGCACCGGCUAACUCCGUGCCAGCAGCCGCGGUAAUAG
rnacentral:rRNA from 1 species